GGGUGAGUAACGCGUGGGGAACCUGCCCCGUACCGGGGGAUAACACCUGGAAACAGGUGCUAAUACCGCAUAACAGAAGGGGACGCAUGUUUCUUUCUUGAAAACUCCGGUGGUACGGGAUGGACCCGCGUCUGAUUAGCUGGUUGGCGGGGUAACGGCCCACCAAGGCGACGAUCAGUAGCCGGCCUGAGAGGGCGGACGGCCACAUUGGGACUGAGACACGGCCCAAACUCCUACGGGAGGCAGCAGUGGGGAAUAUUGCACAAUGGGGGAAACCCUGAUGCAGCGACGCCGCGUGAGUGAAGAAGCGUUUCGGCGCGUAAAGCUCUGUCAGCGGGGAAGAAACACGGUUCGCGAGAGCCGCGGACGGUACCCGACCAAGAAGCCCCGGCUAACUACGUGCCAGCAGCCGCGGUAAUACGUAGGGGGCAAGCGUUAUCCGAAUUCACUGGGUGUAAAGGGAGCGUAGACGGCGAGACAAGUCUGGAGUGAAAGGCCGGGGCCCAACCCCGGGACUGCUCUGGAAACUGCCUGGCUGGAGUACAGGAGAGGUAAGUGGAAUUCCUAGUGUAGCGGUGAAAUGCGUAGAUAUUAGGAGGAACACCAGUGGCGAAGGCGGCUUACUGGACUGUAACUGACGUUGAGGCUCGAAAGCGUGGGGAGCAAACAGGAUUAGAUACCCUGGUAGUCCACGCCGUAAACGAUG
rnacentral:rRNA from 1 species